UUGUCACUCGGCCGUGUUAAAGUAGACGCAAGCAAACGCAUACCGAUAAUCAUCGAUAGCAUGAUCAGGGUCGAGGUUGGCCACUUGCGGCCAACGUAUCGACGUCGACAGAGGCACCGUGAAAAAUUCCCAAGUCCGUAUAUUCGCUUUAGUAGCUUCGUGGCCGGCCCUCCGAUAGCACGCGCUACUAUUCGAUUAUCUUCACUCGUCAAUCAACUCAAUUCAACGCGAUGUAAAACGACGCGACGCCUUACUUUGGACCUUUCAAAAUUCUUUCUUAAAUGCUUACCUAGAUAGGCGCUCGAAACACAAAGAAUAAACCGUACUAACAAACAAUUAUUCCAUAAAUUGAAUCACACCAAAAGGUGCAUGUCAAGGACGCUUAUGCUAUUUCUUCGAACGUUACUCCAUUUUAGGUGAUUUUAAUCAUUAGUUAUCACGUAAAAAGCUGGAAAAUUAAACGAUUUUACUCUUUCGUCUCGAUUUAACCAACAACAAAAAAAUAUUUGAAAAAAGAACAAUAGCAAAGAGAAAGAAAGUAUCAAGUAUGAAGAUAUCCGAAGAAUCUUCGAAAAGAAGAACGUUAAAGUGACGGCUGUGACUGACAAAAGUGUAAAGAGAGUUUGUUCGAGAAAUGCGUUGGAUGAUAGAAACAUGAUGAGAUUCUCGUGCUUUCCGAGAGCGAGUAUUCUCAGUCAGCGGGGCAGCAUCAACUUUACGCACGAUCCCGAUGGCGGAUCCAGCGUAUCGACCGUCGUCGUGAACGGAAGCACGAGGAGUCCCAUCGCAUCCAGUUACAAGCAAUCGGGCGAGCCGGAUCUUACUUACGGCGUCAUACGUCCGCUUCCAAAUACCAUUGCAUCGAAUGGAACGGUCACCUCGAGCAAAAGUCGAGCCAUCGAAGCUCCUAGAGUGACUAGUCAUCGCGAACCCUUGGAAACACACGAGGAAAGAGUCGAACAGAGAGAUGAAUACGAGCAGGUACAACUGGCUAAUCCUCGCGGGGGCGUUAUCGGGAGGACGCCUACGCCGCCUACCUCGGCGCCUAUACCUUCCUACGAAAAGGAUCCUAGGAGCGCGAGGCAAAUAAAGCGUGCCAUUUUGGAGAACGAGUUUCUUGGUAAUCUCGAAAACAGUCAGGUGGAGACUCUCGUGUCGGCUAUGUAUCCGAAACAGUUGGCGGCCAAUACGAUGGUCAUUCGCGAAGGAGAUAUAGGAUCUCAUUUGUACGUGUCGGCAGAGGGAGAAUUCGACAUAUAUCAAGGUAGCAAGUUCCAACGAACCUUUGGCCCUGGCGUUGCCUUCGGAGAGAUAGCCUUGCUUUACAACACUAAGAGGCUUCGUUCUAUCGAAGUUAAGAAGCCUGGUAAAGUAUGGGUACUGGAUAGAUCGGUCUUUUUAAUGGUGAUGAUGAGGAGCGCCCAGGAACGUCUCGAAGGUAACAUCCGCUUCCUCCGGCAAGUUUCCGUUCUUCAGAAACUACCUGAACCGAGAGAUCAGAUACUCGCAAAGAUCUCCGACCUCAUACGCGUGGAAUUCUUUCCAGCGGGCGCAAGGAUCAUUCGGCAGGGCGAAAAGGGCGACAAGUUCUUCAUAAUUAGUGGAGGAAAUGUAAGAAUAACCAAGGACACCGAGUACGGCGGUGAGGAGGAAUUAGUGGUUCUCGAUAAAGGACAGUACUUUGGGGAAAAGGCUCUUUACGACGAGGGAGAGCAUCGUCGACAAGCGAACGCGAUCGCUCUUGCGCCUGGAGUCGAAUGUCUUACCCUCGAUGGAUCGUCCUUCCUCAAUUAUUUGGGUAGUCUCGAAGAAAUUCGCAAUAAGGAUUGGCUCGCCGAAUACGAAAAACAAAAGAGUUCGUUGACGCCGAAAAAGUGGACGAACGAGUACUCAAAUCUGACCUUGUUUGAUCUCGAAACGAGAGGAACACUUGGCGUUGGAGGCUUCGGACGCGUCGAGUUGGUCACUUUAAAGAAUGAUCCCGAUAAAAGUUUUGCUCUUAAAAAGUUGAAGAAAAAGGUUAUGGUUGAUCAGCAACAACAGGAGCACGUUCUCAAUGAGAAACACAUAAUGCAGGCCUGUGACUCUCCUUUCAUAUGCAAACUUUAUCAAACGUACAAAGAUUCCAAGUACGUCUACUUCUUGAUGGAGAUCUGCUUAGGCGGGGACGUCUGGACGACCCUACAGAAGAGAAGAUUUUUUGACGACGCGACGGCACAAUUCAUGGUGGGCUGCGUCGUAGAGGCUCUAGAUCAUCUACAUUCAUUGAAUAUCGUUUAUCGAGAUCUCAAGCCGGAAAAUUUGAUGCUCGAUUCUCGUGGCUACCUCAAGCUGGUUGAUUUUGGAUUCAGCAAAAAGAUUGGUCCGGCCAAAACGUGGACCUUUGCCGGUACACCUGAAUACGUUGCUCCAGAAAUAAUAUUAAACAAGGGACAUGAUCGGGCGGUGGAUUAUUGGGCCCUCGGCAUCCUGACCCACGAGCUCCUGAUUGGCAAACCACCCUUCCGAGCGGCCGAUCAUAUGACAACGUACAACAAGAUUCUCAAGGGAAUUGAAGUUGUCGGUAUACCGAGUGUUGUUAAUAAAAACGCCAACAAUUUUAUCAAGAAGCUUCUACGACAUUCCGCUUCCGAAAGACUAGGAUAUCUAAGAAAUGGCAUACAGGAUAUACGCGAUCACAAAUGGUUUUCCGGAUUCAAUUGGGAAGCUCUUCAACGAUUAGCUUUGCCUGCUCCUAUAGUGCCGACGGUACGAAACCGGAUUGAUACACGAAAUUUCGAAAGAUAUCCACCGGAACGAGAUAUUCCGCCGGACGAAUUUUCAGGCCAACCAAGAGUGUUAUCCUCGACUGAUAAGAUCUAUGCUUAUGGCCGUUAGUGGAAUCAAUCAGUCGAGUUAGAUAUCUCUCGGAGAUACCACAAUCGAAAGACUAAAGGAAAGAAGAACGCAAAACAAACUGGAUUUCUUAGUGAACAUUUCUUAAAAGUUCGUUUGUAAGCGAGCCAAGAGAAUGUCUUUGAAGAAGUUUCGAAGUGGUUUCACGGUUAAACUA
rnacentral:misc_RNA from 1 species